AGGCAACUAACAAUAUAUUUAUAUUCAUCUUUCAUUUACUCGAAAGAGACACCAACACUCUCUUUCUUCUUCUAAAAUCUGAUUCACAUCUUCAACUCUAUGAUACAAAGAAUACUCUUCAAACUUCUAUUCACAGUUUCUCUCUCACUCUCAUCCUCUGCAGAAACUGAUUUUCUUAGAUAAGCUCAGCACAACAUAAUCUGUAAGUCUUCUUCUAUUCACAGUAUAUACUGAACACACUUUUGGGCUUGCGGAUCUCUCUUCCUACCUUUUCCAUUAUUUAACUUCUUCAACUUUUCUUAAUUAUAAGGCUUUGAGAAUUAUUUCAGCAGACUCCACAACAUCUUCUUCCUCCAAAGAACCCUGUAAAAGACUCAGAUGCAUUAAGUGAGAACUGUCAAAUUCAUACAAGGUAAAACAUUAUGAUGUAAACCUCUUUCUCUGUAUAUAAAGUCAUGUGUUUACAGUUUCAGUGACUGUCUUGCAGUACAUUCUUUUCUUUCUUAUUUCUUUUUUUUAUUAUUUAUGUUCAUUAUGCUUUACUUGCUUUAAAUUAUGGCUAAUAUUUAUAUUAUUUAUGUGAGCAUCUUUCUUGUUUAAGAAUAAAUAUGUGAAAGAGUAGGAACAAGAAAGACAUUGAAUUUAUUUAAAAUUGUUAUAUUUGUGUGCUCUUUUUAUUUGUUUGUGAUGCAUCCUCUGAAAUAUAAAUAAGUUGUUGAAAUCAUAAAUAAAUUAUUUAAAUUUUAUAUGUAGAAAAACACAUUAUGAUAAAAAAAAAAGUUUAAACAGACAACUAUUAAUAAGAAAAAGAAAAAGUAAGCAGAAAGACUUCAUGAAUUCACACAACAUCUACUCUAGACAGCCACCAACCCAAUUGCAUAAGCCACCAUUAUUUCAAUUAUUGAGAUAUUGGCCCUACACGCCCACAUUUUAUCAACACUUAUUGGUAUUUUUAUUUUUAUUUUAAUAAAGUAUUAGAAUAUUUUUAAAAUUUUCUUUCAGGAUGUUACAUUUCUAGAUAUAUAAUAGAGAAAACCCUAUUAAGGUUAUGACAAGGUAACAAGUGAUUUUAAUUUUUUAUUAAUAUUAAUAUUUUUAUUUAUUAUAAUAAAAUAAAUAAUUAAUAUAAUAAUAUAAAAAUAAAAAUUAAAAAUUAAAUUCUCAAUCUUAGAUACAACAAAUUUUUUACUUCAAUUUAUUCAUAUUAUACAAUUGAUAUGGUUUACAAAUCAUAAUUCAUAAAAGUCAUUACUCUUUGUUGUAACAAUCACUUAGAACCGGAAUAUUUUGAUAUCCACUGUAAUUAUUUUUUAAAGGAAAUAAAAGUUUCAAUAUUUGGCAUGAUAUUAACAAAGUGGAAAUGUAAAGGGUUAUAUAUGACGAACUAUUUUGUUGGUAGCAUUUCUUAUAAUAUAUAUUUUGUCCAAACACCUCUGAAUGAAUGAGACCAUACCUAAUGAUAGUGAUAAUAAAUAGAGACAGGCAAUAGAUUCAAAGAAUACAAAUACAAUAAUUGUGUCUGACAGCUGUUGUCAUAUAAUUGUUGUUAGGAAGAAUAAAAUAUUAGAAUUUAGGUAUUAUUUACUGACAUAACUUUAUUUUAAAAUACCAUCAAGACCAAAGUUAAUAAUUAAGAAUCUACAUAAACAAAGUUGGAACAGUUCCUCCUUCUCAUAAGCCUUUUCCUUUAUUAUGUUUACUUUUGUAAUAUGGUUCUAAAUUUAUAAAACAAUUUGCAAUGUGUUUCAAGGGUGAACAAAUCAGAAGGACCCACACACUCUCUUUCAACUGUGUGUGUUAUAAGAGGGACCAACAUGUACAGCUAGCCCUAAAUUCAUCCUCAUUUCUUUAUUCUCACAGUAACAUCACUGACUCACACUCAACUGUUGAAAUGUGAGUUAGAUAGAAGCCAAGUCCUGAAGCUACCAACAGUAUCAUACUCUUCAAAAACGGAUUUUCUUAGAUCACUUGAGUGCAACACAAUCUGUAAGCCACUUGCUCCAACAGAUUUACGGUGUCGAGAGUGAUUCUUCCAUUUCUUUUAACGGAUUUACAUAAAAGUAAAAGCACAUCUUUCAAAGAGAGGGUUGGAUUUUCACUUUCACAAAAUAAAAAUAUUUAUGCAAAUGAAUAUUGUAAUUUACAGUUGCGCGAACGCAGAAGAUUCAUGUC
rnacentral:lncRNA from 1 species